rnacentral:lncRNA from 1 species
UUUACUUUGGUUGUUUUGAACCUUGACUCUAUACAAAGUCAUUUAUACAAUAAUUUACUUUUGGUAUAAGGAGGUUAUAGACCAUCACCUGUGGGAUGGGGGUAUUUUACUAGUUAGCUACAAUUUCUAAAAUAAAUUUUUUUGAAUGUUGUGAUACAAUUAGAUUUUACAUCUAAUGGCUAAAAAUAAUUGUAAGUUUUUUGUACUAAAAGUAAACAGUUGUAUUAGUAUAUGACACCAAUACACACAAACACGUACACGUGCACACACAUACAAGUGUAGUUGUAUAAGGUAUCAAUCUUAAACUAUCAAAGUAUUAUGAGGAGGAACCAACAUCCGGGUAGGUGCAGUUGCAUGGGUUCUAGAAGAGCACAAUUGGGAAUGGGCAGGGCUACUGGUGUGUGAAACUUGGUUUUCAAAUCCAUGAUCUUGCCAUCUUGGGUUGCGUUAUAAGCCGUUGGAUUGCAACGAUGUAACGGUGUCCCGAAACAUUCUAUUGACAGUGGAGCUUAGUAUGUCAAUUCACUGAUAUAUGUUUUUUUUUGACAAAUAAUUCACUGAUAUAUUUUUUCUUGCGG